CCUCAACAUACUCCCCAAAUUUGUCACAAAACCAUUUCUGGAGUCUUGAACAUACUGUGUGACUUCGUUUAUCUGCUCCAUUGGCCUGUGUCUGUGGCUUCGCAGGUUGUUGAGCUGCAGACACCUCUUCAGCUCUUGCUUUAAGUACUUCAUUGACUUUUUGUUCUAGUUCUAGCCUCCUCUGUCGUUCCUUCUCUAGCUCUUGCCUUAAUGUUUCAGCAUUCGUUUCUUCUCUCAGCUUCCUGAGUUCCUCCUGCAAAAAGUGUUUUUCCAGUAAGGCUAUUUCCAGGUGACCUUUGAUUUCAUUCAGUCUGUCAGACUCCGUUCUGU
rnacentral:lncRNA from 1 species